rnacentral:rRNA from 1 species
ACUCCUACGGGUGGCUGCAGUGGGGAAUAUUGGACAAUGGACCAAGAGUCUGAUCCAGCAAUUCUGUGUGCACGAUGAAGUUUUUCGGAAUGUAAAGUGCUUUCAGUUGGGAAGAAAAAAAUGACGGUACCAACAGAAGAAGUGACGGCUAAAUACGUGCCAGCAGCCGCGGUAAUACGUAUGUCACGAGCGCUAUCCGGAUUUAUUGGGCGUAAAGCGCGUCUAGGUGGUUAUGUAAGUCUGAUGUGAAAAUGCAGGGCUCAACUCUGUAUUGCGUUGGAAACUGUAUAACUAGAGUACUGGAGAGGUAAGCGGAACUACAAGUGUAGAGGUGAAAUUCGUAGAUAUUUGUAGGAAUGCCGAUGGGGAAGCCAGCUUACUGGACAGAUACUGACGCUGAAGCGCGAAAGCGUGGGUAGCAAACAGGAUUAGAUACCCUGGUAGUCCACGCCGUAAACGAUGAUUACUAGGUGUUGGGGGUCGAACCUCAGCGCCCAAGCAAACGCGAUAAGUAAUCCGCCUGGGGAGUACGUACGCAAGUAUGAAACUCAAAGGAAUUGACGGGGACCCGCACAAGCGGUGGAGCAUGUGGUUUAAUUCGACGCAACGCGAGGAACCUUACCAGCGUUUGACAUCUUAGGAAUGAGCCCAGAGAUGUUUCAGUGUCCCUUCGGGGAAACCUAAAGACAGGUGUUGCAUGGAUGUCGUCAGCUCGUG